AUUGAACGCUGGCGGCAUGCUUUACACAUGCAAGUCGAACGGUAACGGGGUGCUUGCACCGCUGACGAGUGGCGAACGGGUGAGUAAUACAUCGGAAUGUACCCAGUAAUGGGGGAUAACGCUUCGAAAGGAGUGCUAAUACCGCAUACGCCCUGAGGGGGAAAGUGGGGGACCGCAAGGCCUCACGUUAUUGGAGCAGCCGAUGGCUGACUUGUUAGUGGGUGAGGUAAAGGCUCACCAAGGCGACGGUCAGUAGCGGGUCUUAGAGGACGAGCGUCCACGCCGGAACUGAGACACGGGCCAGACUCCUACGGGAGGCAGCAGUGGGGAAUCUUGGACAAUGGGCGAAAGCCUGAUCCAGCAAUGCCGCGUGCGUGAAGAAGGCCUUCGGGUUGUAAAGCACUUUCAGUAGGGAGGAAGGGUGUUGUGUUAAUAGCACAGCAUUUUGACGUUACCUACAGAAGAAGCACCGGCUAACUCUGUGCCAGCCGCCGCUGUAAUAC
rnacentral:rRNA from 1 species